ensembl:lncRNA
UCUCAGGUAGCACUGCCAGCUUGGACACUAACUCAUAACUCAUAAUGUUGAACCCUCGAGGGGCUGUUGAUGAGACAUUUUCCACAUCUAAGGGGUCUGGUCCAGUUUAUGUUUAUUUUUUCUCCAUCACAGUUGUUAUCAUAAGACAGAAAUGAGUUAUAAAAUACUAACAUGAUGGUUCUGUGUAUAUACUGGAGAGUUUUGCAGGUGAAGAUGGCUGAGUUUAGAUGUCAAUAUGUGAGUGAGGAAUCCAUGUCAGUGGAGAUCUAAGGUUCAGUUCGGUGAACUAUGGAUUUUCAAGGCAAAGAAAGCAGGUUCUGCUACAAGUGGGGCAAGGAAGAAGACUCCUUGGAAGGGCUAGGAGAGCAAGUAAAAAAUAUACACUGAGCAGUCCUUGCAUGACAGAAUAUCUCUUUUUGUUUUAAUUUUUUCUCUUGGUCAGAAGACAUCAGCCCCUAACACACAUCCUGUACACGUGGAAAAAAAAAAUAUAAAUAACUAAAAUCACAGCUGCCUCUGGGCCAGAGCACUCCAGUUGUUUAAUAGGUCACAAACCACUUCACCUAAAUGAAAAUAGCUUCAUUUUCAUUUAAUGUUCACGUGCACCUUUGAGUUGCGUGGGCUGUCAUUGGGUUGCUGGGAAGUGUUUCAUGUAUAUACAUUUCUCAAGAAUCACAUACUUACAGAAUAGGUACAUCUUGAACAUGAAGGACUGGGUUCACCCACCUAAAUGUGUGCUGCCUGGCCUGGGGACAUAACGAUCACCUGAUGUUCCUGCUUGAGCCAACAGCCAUCCCCAGAAGGUACGUGACCAGCAAAUGCAAUCACCAGAUAGUCCAAGAUCUAUUCAGGAGGAAUUAACCAUUGAUGGAGAAUGUGAAUGAAAGAACUCUGUGUGAGUAUAUGCAUUGUCAUGCUCUACUCCAUGCACCUCAGCCUGGAUAACAGGGGCAGAUGAAAACCUUCUUCUGGUCUGGCCCUCUGUAGAGGGACCUCAUUUGGCUUCUGUCCCUUCUUCUGAAGCCUCUGAUACGUUUUUUUCUCCAACCACCAGCUUUCUCCACCAUCCUGGGUGUAGGAAGAGCAACAGAACAGGCCGUGGACAUCAGAAAUAUCUGCAAGAAACUCAUCUUGGAGGCAACGAGGGCAUCAGAGAAAUCACCAAAAUUCACUGCAAAUGUACUCAUGCCUCUGCUGUGGUCUGUUUGCAGAUGUCUAUCCCUCUGGCGAUGGCACAGCAUAUCCACGAGGCUUCGUGCUCAGCUCCCCGCCACUGCCCACCCCAUCUCCCUGUAUCUCCAUCACCCUUCACCACAGCUACAUUACACUCAUGCUGUAUGGUUGUUUCCCUGCUCCUGGUCCUCGGUCUCCCCUACCAGCGCACAGUGGGUGAUCAUAACCAUUGCUCCUGGAUGUACAAAGACUGCUGUUGUGAAUGGUUUUCCCUCCAGCAGAGCACUGCCCCAUGGCUCAACCCACAGAGAGAGCAACUCCUGGAAAGUGGGACAUUUGUUCUGGUGGGGCAGGUGGCCAGGGCCCCUUACCAGCUCCCUCCUGUUGCUCUGGCUGUCCGACCACCUGACCACGUGCCGAGACACAGACUUCCCCUGAGGCCUCCCGAGAGCUUUGGGCCUCUGUCACUGAGC